rnacentral:rRNA from 1 species
UACGAAGGGGGCUAGCGUUGUUCGGAAUCACUGGGCGUAAAGGGCGCGUAGGCGGCCGAUCAAGUCGGGGGUGAAAGCCUGUGACUCAACCACAGAAUUGCCUUCGAUACUGUUUGGCUUGAGACCGGAAGAGGUUAGUGGAACUGCGAGUGUAGAGGUGAAUUCGUAGAUAUUCGCAAGAACACCAGUGGCGAAGGCGGCUGACUGGUCCGGUUCUGGACGCUGAGGCGAGAAAGCGUGGGGAGCAAACAGG